rnacentral:tRNA from 1 species
GGGCCCGUAGUCUAGCUUGGUAGGAUGCGGGGUAUGAUCCCCGUGGUCCGGGGUUCAAAUCCCCGCGGGCCCA